UCCGAGGUAGCUCAAUGGUAGAGUUCUUGAUUGUUACUCAAGCUGUUCUAGGUUCGAGUCCUAGUCUCGGAGCCA
rnacentral:tRNA from 1 species